rnacentral:lncRNA from 1 species
AAGUUGCGAAUCCAAUUCAUGUGAUUCUUUGACUUCCUCAAACUUCGCCUUAUCCUUUUGAUAGCUACGUUGUGCUCUCUGUAUAAGAAUACAAAGAAAUAGAUAUAUGAAAAGUUAUACAUCUCAUCUAUGUGUGUAAAUCUGAAAAUAACAUGAACUAACAGCUAUUACUGCAAUGUUUAUAUUUCCCAUUUGCCAAAAGUUAAACACCAGUUCAUUUCCCAAUCUUUGAAAGAGUCUAUAUUUUACUUGAAGAGUCCCUUGGGGAAUCCAAUAUCUUUGUCAAAUAUAAAAUCGUUCAUGUGCUUCAUUUAAUAACUCAUGCUUUUGAAAUAGUUGGGCUCAUGACAUGCUAUCAGAGCAUACCAUGGAUAUCUAUAAAUCCUCUCAAGAAUCAUGCUGAUUAAAUUUCACUCAUUGUUGGUAAUUCAAUUCUCU